GCCUGGCUGGCUUAGUUGGUAGAGCAUGUGACUCUUGAUCUCAGGAUCGUGAGUUCCAGCCCCACGUUGGGUG
rnacentral:tRNA from 1 species